AGCGAAAGCUGGCGGCAGGACUAACACAUGCAAGUCGAACGAACUCUUCGGAGUUAGUGGCGGACGGGUGAGUAACACGUGGGAACGUGCCUUUAGGUUCGGAAUAACUCAGGGAAACUUGUGCUAAUACCGAAUGUGCCCUUCGGGGGAAAGAUUUAUCGCCUUUAGAGCGGCCCGCGUCUGAUUAGCUAGUUGGUGAGGUAAUGGCUCACCAAGGCUACGAUCAGUAGCUAGUCUGAGAGGAUGACCAGCCACAUUGGGACUGAGACCCGGCCCAAACUCCUACGGGGGGCAGCAGUGGGGAAUCUUGCGCAAUGGGCGAAAGCCUGACGCAGCCAUGCCGCGUGGAUGAUGAAGGUCUUAGGAUUGUAAAAUCCUUUCACCGGUGAAGAUAAUGACUGUAGCCGGAGAAGAAGCCCCGGCUAACUUCGUGCCAGCGGCCGCCGUAAGAC
rnacentral:rRNA from 1 species